UGCCAGCCGCCGCGGUAAUACGGAGGGUGCAAGCGUUAAUCGGAAUUACUGGGCGUAAAGCGCGCGUAGGCGGCUAUUUAAGUCGGAUGUGAAAUCCCCGGGCUCAACCUGGGAACUGCAUUCGAUACUGGAAGGCUAGAAUUUAGCAGAGGCUGACGGAAUUCCUGGUGUAGCGGUGAAAUGCGUAGAUAUCAGGAGGAACAUCAGUGGCGAAGGCGGUCAGCUGGGCUAAAAUUGACGCUGAGGUACGAAAGCGUGGGGAGCAAACAGGAUUAGAUA
rnacentral:rRNA from 1 species